UACGUAGGGUGCAAGCGUCGUUCGGAUUUACUGGGCGUAAAGGGUGCGUAGGCGGUUGGGUAAGUCUGACGUGAAAUCUCCGGGCCUAACCCGGAAACUGCGUUGGAUACUACCUGGCUAGAGGAAUGGAGGGGAGACUGGAAUACUUGGUGUAGCAGUGAAAUGCGUAGAUAUCAAGUGGAACACCAGUGGCGAAGGCGAGUCUCUGGACAUUUCCUGACGCUGAGGCACGAAAGCCAGGGGAGCAAACGGG
rnacentral:rRNA from 1 species